ensembl:processed_transcript Gm26974 predicted gene, 26974
GCCAGGCAUUUACAUAGAGAUAGCCAACACUGUUCCUCCUACAGAUAAGGAGUCAGCAUCUUUUCCAUGCCUCAAGACCCACUGCAGGGGCCAUGCAACCACUGACAUAGGAACAAGGCAAGUCUCUUAUAUCACAUCACCAUUUCAGGAUUUUACCCUCCUGGUGCCUAACCCUCAGUUCCCUUCCUUGAUACAUAUAGGCAGGACGAUGCAAUCAUUCCUCCCCAAUUCAUCUUGAAUUCUGCCAGGUCCCUGUUUGGGUGCCAACAGUUUUGUGACAGAUGUUUACUGGGGAGACACAGACACAUCUAUUCCCCCCAUCCAACAAAAAAGAAGCUCACAAGAGACCAAAGUAACAAUUGCAUCAGUGACCCACUUGGCGGACCAGUGGUUAUUUAUUUAUUUAUUUAUUUAUUUUGUGAUUACUGACAGCAUGGGUGAGAAGUUGCUUACAGGGUCAGCACACCAUUGUAACUGUGACUUCAAAGCCUUCACUCACGCACAGACCUUCCUGGUCCCCAGUGCUGGCGACAGUCUCCAUGUUCCCUGGGGUCUUCAUGUCUAUUUGCGUACAGGGAAAGACUCUGUCUUUUUAUCAGCCUAACUCCAAAUGAAGUAGGAUAUAAUAAGGCCCCCUUAGUGCAUAGCAUUCUCAGUUCUCCAUGAUAUAAGGCCCAGGUUCCUUAGAACAGGACAACAAGCAAGUCUUCUGUGACUAAGCUGUUGUGCCAACCCCCUACUCAUUUCUUGCCACUUAUUCCAAAGGCAUUCCAGAUUAUUAAUCUUUCUUCAAAGAUGCUGAGUAAUUGUGACCUUUCGAUUUUUCCUACUUCCGGUCCAUCUGCUUGAAAAGCUGCCCCAGCAGGCUGGGGAGCAGAACUGCAGAAGAAGCCUUACCUCUCUGGAGUAACCAAGAUGUCCCAAGCAACACUGAUGCCACAGCGUUGUGGCCCACAGAGCAGUGCACAAAGAAUCAUUAUAAGCUAAUCCUGAUGUGUCUUACCCGUGUGUGCCUGCGUUUUCCUCUACUGCUCCAUAGCAUGGACUUCACAUGCCCUAUGCAUAUCAUGCAUCUAAUCUUCAUAUCUGCACAAGCAAUUAUUGCAGACUUUCCAUAGGGGUUUUUGUCUUUUAAUGAUAAAAAUGGAUGGACACAAAAUUACUGAUUUGGAGAUGUUUAUUCAAAUAAUUACUGUGAAUAUAUAUUCUUAGAUUUCUUUCUUUUAUCACUAUAGCUACUACCUUUACAUUUUCCUCUAAAAUUUUUUCACAUAUGUUUUUUGGUUUACGGGGGUUGUUGUUGUUGUUGUUGCUGCUGCUGCUGUUGCUACUGCUGCUGCUGUUUUGGACAUGGUUUUGCUAUAUAAAUCAAGAGCAGCCUGAAAGUCAUGACCACCAUACCUAAUAUUAACCUUUUGUUACUCUAACUGUGCCAAACUACUGCAUUUUCACUAAACUUUUAAUAAAGUCCAUGAUGUAUGCACUU